rnacentral:lncRNA from 1 species
UGGUCCUGGACUUUUUUUGUUGGCAAUUUUUUAUUACUAUUUCAAUCUCACUGCCUGUUAUUGGUCUGUUCAGAGUUUCUGUUUCUUCCUGGCUUGAUCUAUGUGAGUUGUAUAUUUCCAGGAAUUUAUACAUCUCCUCUAGAUUUUCUAGUUUGUGCACAUGAAGGUGUUUGUAGUAGCCUUCAAUGAUUUUUUUGUAUUUCUGUGGUGUUGGUUGCAGUAGCUCCCAUUUCAGCUCUAAUUCAGCUAUUUCAGUUCUAAUUGAUCUUCUCUCAUCUUUUCUUGGUUAAUCUUACUAAUGGUCUAUCAAUUUUGUUUUAUUUUUUCAAAGAACCAGCUUCUUGUUUCAUUUAGCUUUUGUAUUUUUUUUUUUGGUUUCAAUUUUAUUUAGUUCUGCUCUGAUCUUUGUUAUUUAUUUUCUUCUGCUGGGUUUGGGUUUGGUUUGUUCUUGUUUCUCUAGUUCCUUGAGAUGUGACCUUAAAUUGUCUAUUUGUACUCUUUCAUAGUUUUUGAUGUAGGCAUUUAAUGCUGUGAACUUUCCUCUUAGCACCACUUUUGUAGUGUCCCAUAGGUUUUGAUAAGUUGUGUCACAAUUAUCGUUCUGCUGAUGAAAAGAAUGUAUAUUCUACAGUUGUUGGGUAGAAUGUUCUGUAAAUAUCUGUUAAGUCCAUUUGUUUUAGAGUACAGUUUAAGUCCAUUGUUUCUUUGUUGCCUUUCUGUCUUGAUGACCUGUCUAGUGCUAUCAGUGGAAUAUUGAAGUCCCCCACUGUUACUGUGUUGCCAGACUAGUAAUUUUAUCAUUAUAUAAUGUCCCUCUUUGUCUUUUUUAACUGUUGUUGCUUUAAAGUCUGUUUUGUCUGAUAUAAGAAUAGGUACUUCUGCUUACUUUUGGUGUCCAUUUGCAUGGAAUAUGUUUUUCCACCCCUUUAUCAUAAGUUUAUAUGAGUCCUUAUGUGUUAGGUGAGUCUCUUGAAAACGGCAGAUACUUGGUUGGUGGAUUUUUAUCCAUUCUGCCAUUCUGUACCUUUUAAGUGGAGCAUUUGGGCCGUUUACAUUUAAUGUUAUUAUUGAGCUGUAAGGUGUUGUUUUAUUUAUUGUGCUAGUUGUUUUCUGAAUACCUUGGUUUUUGUUGUUGUUGUUGCUCAUUGUGUUAUUGUUUAGUUCCUGUGAGAUUUAUGCUUUUAGGAGGUUCUAUUUUGGUGGGUUUUGAGGUUUUGUUUCAAGAUUUAGAACUCCUUUUAGCAUGUCUUAUAGUGCUGGCUUGGUAGUGGUGAAUUAUUUUAGCAUUUGUUUGUCUGAAAUAGACUUUCUUUCUUCUUCAUUUUUGAAGCUUAGUUUUUCUGCAUAUAAAAUUCUUGACUAGAAAUUAUUUUGUUUAGGGAGGCUAAAGAUAGGACCCCAAUCCCUUUUGGCUUAUAGGAUUUCUGCUAAGAAAUCUGCUGUUAAUGAUGGGUUUUCCUUUAUACAUUAUCUGAUGCUUUUGCCUCACAGCUCUUAAGAUUCUUUCCUUUAUCUUGACUUUAGAUAACCUAUGAUGACUACGUGCCUGGGUUAUAAUCAUUUUGCAAUGAAUUUCCCAGGUGUCUUUAGAGCUUCUUGUAUUUGGAUUUCUAGGUAUCUAUUGAGGCUGGGGAAGUUUUCCUCAAUUAUUAUCUCAGAUAUGUUUUCCAGACUUUUAGACUUCUCUUCUUCCUUGGGAACACCAAUUAUUCUUAGAUUUUUCAUUUACCAUAAUCCCAAAUUUCUUGGGGGCUUUGUUAAUUUUUUAAAGUUAUUUUUUAUUUGUCUUUGUUGGAUUGGGUUAAUUUAAAAGUCUUGUUUUCGAGCCUUGAGUUUCUUUUUUCUACUUGUUUGAUUCUAUUGUUGAAACUUUCCAGUGCACUUUGUGUUUCUCUAAGUGUGUCUUUCAUUUCCAAAAGUUGUGAUUAUUUUCUCUUUAUGAUACCUAUUUCUCUGGAGCAUUUUUUUUCUCCCAAUCUUGUAUUGUUUUUUAAAUUUCUUUAAGUUGGUUUUUACCUUUCUCUAGUACCUCCUUGAGUAGCUUAAUAAUCAACCUUCUGAAUUCUUCAUCUGACAAUUCGGAGAUUUUUUUUUCUUGGUUUGAUCCAUUGCUGGGGAGCUAGUGUGGUCUUUUAGGGGUGUUAUAGAACCUUGUUUUGUCAUAUUACCAGAAUUACUUUUUUGAUUCCUUCUCAUUUGGAUAGACUAUUUCAGUGGAAAAAUCUGGAAGUCAAGGGCUGCUGUUCAGCUUCUUUUGUUCCACAGGAUGAUCCUUUCAUGUGGUGCACUCCCCCUCACCCUAGGGAUAGGGCUUCCUGUGAACCAGAUUGCAAUAAUUGUUGUUGCUUUUCUGGGUCUAGUUACCCAGCAGGUCUACUGGGCUUUGGGCUGGUGUCUGCAAAGAGUCCUGUGAUGCAAUCCAUCUUCAGGUCCCCCAGCCAUGGAUACCAGCACCUGCUCUGGAGGAGGUGGCAGGGGAGUG